CUAUUUUUUUUUAACUACAAAUUUAGCUGCUAAAUCUAGUUGUUUUAGAGUCUCCAUUUUUUAUAUUUAUAAAUAUAGUCCAUAAUUUUCUUAAAACAAAAUACUUUAACGAGCAGUUUGUUAAAGUGUAUACAAUUUUUCAAAUUAUUAUUUUAUGUGUGUUUUCUCUUCAAAUAUCUUAAGCGUGUAAACAUAGUGAACCCUGAAAACUUUUAACAUAUAGACUAUCGAUGGAUAGUCAGACACUUUUCAUUAUUUUCCUUAAUUUCAAAACAUAUAGACUUAUUUUCCUUAUUGAUAAACAUGAAUUGCUUAGCGAUUACUCUACACAACUAAUAGUAGAAUAAUAAAUUCGCAGAACUAAGACCUAGUUCCGUUUACUGUCUCAAGUCUCAAGCUGCAUUUAACUCAUCCUGGUUUUCUCAGAUAAAAAUGGAAAAGAAAGAUGGCUUUAAGGAUGAUCUUAUAACCAUUAACCAUAUCGCUAUUAAACAGAAGUGGUCAAAGCUUUAAGGGUUUGGUGAGCCAAGGAAGUGAGUUUGUCAGGGGAUCGUCCAAGUCAGUCUAACUAAAGUUGUUUGAUCAAUAAAAGUACUGGAGAUUUAACAAAAGUUACAAUAACAUACAUCAAGGUUCAUGAUUUGCACGUUGUGGUAUAUGUUUAGAUAAAUAACUCAAGAACAUCUGUGGUCAGUGGUUUAGGUAUAGAGUUGGUGAGGAAGAUUAUGAAUAAUUGAAUAUUAUCAUGUAUAGAAAAGGGAAUCUUUGUUGACCAAAAAUGAAAAGAAAAGGGAAUCUUUCUGGAUUAAAGACAUUAGACAUCCCAUAAACUAACCCCAACAACAACAACAAAAAGACAUUAGACAUCCCAUAAAUUAACCCCAACAACAAAAAAAGAAAAGAAUAGGCCUAAGAAGCCCAGUACAGAUUAAAAAUGGGCCUUUAUAAACACUUGGCGUUAGUCAGAAACGUUUAGCGCAAAACAAUUCAAAUCAAACUCCUUCUAAAGUAGCAAUCAUCGAGCCACCUCCAGAUUGUAGACGUAUGCUUGAGAAAACGGCUCGUUUGGUACCAAGCAUUUUGCAUUAGAACCUCCUCAAGGGAUCACGCUCAAGGAACUUGGUAACAUGAAGCUAACAGCAACGUUUGUGGCACGGUAUGGCGUGUAUAUUUUUGGCCGGUUUGAUCAAGAGAGUGGCUACGAAUCCUCAUUUUGAGUUUAUCAAGGACACUGAUAGCAAGUUCGGUUAUUUCACUCAGCUUGUUGUUGUGUAUUCAAGAAUAAUAAUGCGGAGUAAGAGGAAAGGUGCUUGUACGGGGACCCUUCUUAAAGGCUUUUUCGACCGGCUUCGAACUCAGGGCCGGAUCUGAGAAUUUGGUGGGAGGGGGACUUGAAACAUUUUUUAAGAACUCUAAAAUUUUGGGGGCCGGAAUCAAUGUUUGAGGGCUUAAACCUAUGCAAAAAACCUCUAAAAAUUUUGGGGGCCGAGGCCAAUGUUUCUGUAACGAUCCGAUUACCGUAAACCAGAUUUGAGAAUUUGUUUGUUUAAUUAUUGGACCAAACCAACUCAAAGCAAUUUCUUUACUGGUUUAAUGUAAACCGUGUAGCUUACAUAUUAUUAAUACGUAACUUCCUCUUCUAAACCUAAGAUAGUGUGACAUCAGCCGUUAUUCACCAUCGUCUUCUACCUCUCCACCACGGCUCAAAUCCUUGAGUCAUCUCAGUCCACCGGAGAUCCAUGCCUUGAUCGUCGCCGGUUCUUCGCGACCGUCAUGAUCAUCUCACCGGAGGAGGGUCUGAGAUCCUUGCCGCGCCGGAGCCUUUAUCACCCUCGUCAUAAAUGUAAUCAUAACCGAGAGAUGCGGAGGAGACACGAUCUAAAAUGGAGCUGCGGCGUUUAACACCAACCACCACCGAUCCGUUCCCCGCGAACCAUCCAUCACCAAAGAGCAACCGCCGUGAUGUCACUACCCUUGCUAGACCAAGAUCAGUCGGAAGUGCUUUGUGGUUGGUUUAAUAUUGAUCUGAUAAAUGAACGUGAGGAGGAAACGAGCCAAGCCGGAGUCACCGUCUUAACACCGCCGACCACCGUUCUGCACCACCAUGAGUUGUUAGUCAUCGUAGAUGGAGCCGGGUUGUCGGAGUACGAGAGCCAAUAACGUAAACCCAAGCCGUGAUGGUUGAGUGUCCUCUUCUCAAUUUCUUGUGCUACAAGAAAUUCACUUAUAUAAUUUAACCCUUAAUUGGUUCAUGCCUAGGGAAACCAUCGUGGACUUAAGGUGUGAAUUAUUUGAUAAUUAAUUCUUGUUAAAUCCUGACCGAAGAGGUUUCUUGGACAAAUCCCGAGUGUUUUCUCAACGUGGCUAAGGCGAGACUGACGAGUAUAUGAUAUUUGGACGGAUUGGUGCUACUGGACUUUUUAUUCGGCUUUUUGUUUGGGCUUAGGAUCCGGCCAUGUUCGAACUCAACUGGAAAAGCAAGAGGGAGUGGAGAUGGUUGAGAGUAAUUUGGAUGGUAUUGUGGGUUGUGUUGACUAUUUUCCUCACAUGGAGGAUCAAGUGUCUUGUGCUAACGUGCCACCACCUGAUCCUUUUGUAUGGGGAUGAUGGAUUCAGAGACAAAGCUCUUACUCAUGUUCUGUUUCUAUUAUCUGAAAAGUCUCUUUAAUAUUGUGAUUA